rnacentral:rRNA from 1 species
GACGAACGCUGGCGGCGUGCUUAACACAUGCAAGUCGAACGGAAAGGCCCUGCUUGCCGGGUGCUCUAGUGGCGCACGGGUGGGGAACGCGUGGGUGAUCUGCCCGUCACCUGGGGCUAAGCCUGGGAUACUGGGUCUAAUCCGGGUCUGAUGCCCGUUUUAGUGGGAUGGUUGGACAGGUUUUUGGGAGUGGGAUGAGCUCGCGGCGUGUCAGGCUGUCGGUGGGGUAGUGGCCUACCAAGGCGGUGGCGGGUCGCGGGCCUGACAGGGUGGACGGCCACAUUGGGACAGAGAUACGGCCCAGACACCUGCGGGGGGCAGCAGACGAGAAUAUUGCACAAUAGGCGGAAGCCUGAUGCAGCGACGCCGCGUGGGGGAGGACGGCCUUCGGGUUGUAAACGCCUUUCGCAAGUGAUGAAGCUGUUUGUGACGGUACCUAGAGAAGAAGCACCGGCUAACUACGUG